GCUGUCUGAAGCCAGUUCUGUUACUAAUACGAGCCCUGGGACGUGUGGAACAAAAUAUCCUAUCUAUUUAAAAGAUGGGAUUAAUAGUGCGGAUGUAUUCGAUCUCCAGUUUGGGGAAUCCAUUGACAAAACUGUUCAAAUUGGAGGACUUAGUGUGUAUGGAAUAUCAAAGGAAUUCAACGUCAGUAUCCGAAAUUGUUCUGGAAGCUAUUUCAUCUUCAUAAAGAAAGCGCCCAUUUCCUUUUCUGGAUAUUGUGUUGACACUGGAAUAUCUUCAAACAUUGGUGGUAAUUCUUCGAGAAAAUGGGCACAGGUUGCAACGAAUUUAGAUUUUCAUGUUGAGUAUGAUGCAAC